GCCCGGUUAGCUCAAUCGGUAGAGCGUGAGACUCUUAAUCUCAAGGUUGCGGGUUCGAGCCCCGCAUUGGGCU